ensembl:lncRNA
AGAAUGGGGGAAAAAUGUGAUCUCAAUGGCAUGGAUAUUAGGUCCAUGUUAGAUGAAAGUCCUGUUUUUUGACAGGUGCCAAUAAUUACGGUGUUGACUGUUUAUGCACAGCAUUUGAAGUCACAAAUAUACGUAUAUCAGUGAUUAUUUAGACAUCAGUACAUGUUUGUUGGAUUGUCUCUUUAAAAAAAUAAAUAAAUAAAAAUUCUCCUAUUACUCACUUUUAGUAACCUGUGUGACAUCAGUGCAGCAGAACAUUGAACCUCCUCCUGUGACUGUCGCAAUUAACGUCAAGCCAACACCAGCAUCAGUAGAAGCUAAUGGCACCAAAGCAAAAGCUCCGACUGUGUCUGUGGAAGCAGCUGGUAACCAGGUCAGUGUUACAGCUGUAUCAGCUGAACAAAAAAUUCCAGCAGAGUCCAGUACGCCAGCCAAAGACACACCGAAAGCUGAGACUCCCAGCAUGUUCAAUAAGAUGUUCAAGAAGAAGACCGGACCUGUUUCUCCUGCAUCUGAGGCUAAUGUGGCAGCCGAAGUAGUGAUCGUCCCUGAAGUACAGACCGACAGCCAGAAGUCUCCAACACCAGCAUCAGUAGAAGCUAAUGGCACCAAAGCAAAAGCUCCGACUGUGUCUGUGGAAGCAGCUGGUAACCAGGUCAGUGUUACAGCUGUAUCAGCUGAACAAAAAAUUCCAGCAGAGUCCAGUACGCCAGCCAAAGACACACCGAAAGCUGAGACUCCCAGCAUGUUCAAUAAGAUGUUCAAGAAGAAGACCGGACCUGUUUCUCCUGCAUCUGAGGCUAAUGUGGCAGCCGAAGUAGUGAUCGUCCCUGAAGUACAGACCGACAGCCAGAAGUCUGUAAGUACAUCACCUCGUGAGUUUUAUACAUAGUUCACCUCUGUUCCUCCUCAGUGUUACAGUUGAAAGUUAAUGAACUUACAGUAUGUGAGCUCUAUGGGAGAAAUAGCCUCCAAUUUUUCCCUGUUCAUAUCGAAUACAUAUUUUAAAAUUAACUUAUUCUGAUCGCUGACAG